GAUUGCUUGAAGAGAGAAAAAUGACACAGGACGGAUAACCACCAACUUAAUGCAAAAUGUGUGUGUCAGAGGCCCUCCUUGUUGGCAUUUAUGGAGACUCUUGUCUCCUGCAAACAGAAUCACAGAGCUAAAGGUCAGGUGUAAGACUUAGUUGAGAAUGACACUUCAAUAAAGCCUGGUGGUAAUGUUUAUUGAGCAUUUACCAUGUUCUAAACAUCAUGCUAAGCACUUUAUGUAGAUCAUCUCACUUAAUCCUCACUGCAUUAUGAGCUGGUUUCAAGUAUUAGCACCCUCAUCUUACAGUUGGGAAAAACUGAGGUUCAGAUUAGUUCAUUCAUUUGCUCAAAGUCACAUAGCCCAUAUGUGGCAGAACCAGCAUCUGAACUCAGAUCACUGCCUCCAAAAGCUGAGCUCUUAAAACUAUGUCUUAUAUUAUUAAACAUCAAACAUUAUAAAGCGGUGAAACUCUGUUCUUGUCAUCUGUGUGAAAAACAGUUUUGAUCCAAGAUGUGAUAAAAUCAUUCAAUUAGAGAAUCUUUGAAUUGUAAUGGGUCCUGUGGGAUUAUCAAACCCAACCUCCCACUCAAUGGAGGAAUCCCCUUUCAGUCUAUAGGCCGGUGCAUGUAACAAGUGCUUAAUUGUGUUGAACUGGAGAAGACAUUCUGGCAGCUGAUUAUCCAGUUUCUGCAUGAACCUCUCCCAGUGAUGAGGAGUUCAUUGCCUCCCAACGCAGCCUCUUCCAUGUUAAAAAGCUCUGCUUGCCAGAAUCUUCUUUCUCUGCUGAAAACGACAUUGAUCUGUAGUUUUCCAUCUUUCUCUCAUUGCUCCUCGUUGCAGGAAAAAAGUUGACAGUUUUACGAUUUGAACAUUUGACUGAAAAGUUUUUUGCUGCCAUUCAGUCACCACAUCCAUCGUUGCCUGCCCUUCCCAACCUCCAAAAGGAAAGGGAAACAAAACAUUACGGUUGUAUUUUGUUUCCUCAAGUUUGGUUAAGUUAGAGCAAGAUUUGUUCGCUCAAGACGCUUCUUCCUUAUCCUUUUUAACAUUAAAAUGUUGGAAAGGAAUAAAAGCAAAAAAGGAACAGAACAGUAGAGUCUACUUUCCAAUUACAUCAAUAAAUGGGUGCACGGAGCAUGUUGAAUUCGAUAGAAAUGUUUGCUACGCUACUGGGGCAGGGAGGAAGCCUGUGGUUAAAUCUAUCAAAAGUUUUUGUUGUUUUUACAAAAGUACCGGAGCCAUCUGUGUGCGACCCAGCCAUUAGCUUGGGGUCCUCUCCCUGCAGAAGGAACAAUUAGAAACACCAUGUGCUGGUUCUCAAAACUUGUGCCCUGCACCUCCACCCAGAAGGCUAGAUUUUCCAUUAGUCCCUUAUUUCUAUCUUAUUGGUAAGGAGCUGCUUCUAAACCUUUCUCUUUUCUCCUGACUGAAGGAGGAGGUUAAAUACCCCUUAGAUUUAGGAAGGCCCAGGGAACCACCGAGACGGCGAGACCUCCUGGAUUCCUAGAGAACACUGAGGGGGGGGGAGGGGCUGUGACGCACUUCCGGUAGGUUUUCCCGGACUUGUGUUUGUCUUGAACGUCUGAUUUUCGGCUCGUUGUCUCUCUGCCCGGGCGACCCAGGCCUUCUGAGUUCCCGUCUGCGGGUGGCGGUGGGGACACGAGAUACAUGGUCACUGUCCCUAGCAUCUGGCCCCGGUAGGGUGUAGAGAGAAGCCCCGCACCCUUGGUUCCGUCUGCCCCUGCCCAAACCACCUUUGUGCUUUGACUUAACCUAAAUGAUGGGGUCGAUUAAGAAAGACUGGAGACAAAACAAGGCGCUAGCAUCUUUCUGCCCUUGUACAGAAUCAUAGGAAAACCUUACCAGAAAGUGCAGCUCCGGUGGUUUGGAUCCAGGAAGAAAGAACAACCUAGAGAUGUUCCAGAAAAAAAGAAGCUACAAAAAUUAGGGUGGUCGCAGAUUUGAACCUGUCAAAUCACUGAUAGCAGAACUAAGAGAAGCUCGUUAAAAUCAGCAUGAGAUAAGCAUCCAACAUGCCUAGCCAGAGGCAGAAAAUAGAGCCAAAACUGGACAGGUGGACUCUCAGAGUUCACCCUAACAUCAGAGUUAUCGCUGAGAUAACCCUACUAAUUUCAAAGGUCGUGAACCUUCAUAUCAAGGCAAUCUUGUCUUGAUCUCGACAUCUCUGACCCUUGCUCAGUAUUGUUUUCAUUGGCUGCAAUAUAAAGAUGCUCCCGUUCUCUAGCGUAUCCAGACUCCAACAGCCUUUCGAUAUUGCUGGGACCUCCAAUGCAUUUGUUUGGAUAGUCACACGUUUGCUGUCCUUCACCCAGUGAUGUGCUCUCCACCCUCCAUACCUACCAUAAAGUGCACAGGCAGUCAUCAUUAGUCAACCCCCCCAUCCCUCUUUGCUUUGGCACAGCCACUUGACAAAAUCACAAUCAUGAUUAAAGUCA
rnacentral:lncRNA from 1 species